CACGUAGGGCGCAAGCGUUGUCCGGAAUUAUUGGGCGUAAAGAGCUCGUAGGCGGUCUGUUACGUCUGCUGUGAAAACCCAGGGCUUAACCCUGGGCUUGCAGUGGAUACGGGCAGACUGGAGUACUGCAGGGGAGACUGGAAUUCCUGGUGUAGCGGUGGAAUGCGCAGAUAUCAGGAGGAACACCGGUGGCGAAGGCGGGUCUCUGGGCAGUAACUGACGCUGAGGAGCGAAAGCGUGGGGAGCGAACAGG
rnacentral:rRNA from 1 species